UUUUGUCAAUAGAACCAUAAUAUUGUUCAAACUUAUAGUUUAAAUUAGUAAUUAUAGUCGAAUAUCGACUACUGGGGGACCACUAGUCUAUGACUAUUUCGAGACAGAAAUAGGUAUAACGGCGGCAACCAAUCAUGCUGGCUUAUAAUACGCCCGGCCACCGGAAAAAACUACUCAUAUUAUGUAAAGUUGCAGGAUUCCGAAGUACACAAUGAUGCAUUUCGGAUUCACCCCCGGUAUUUAUACGAAAGCUUUUUGUGGACAAUUACGCAUCGUUGCAGAUUCUGUUCAUAUUUUAUGAGUAUAUACUUAUGCAAGGACAAUGUGGUAUGUCCCUUAUUCAGUUACUGAAUUGCGAUGCCAACCAAACUACAAUUAAAUAUGUGCUUUAUGUUUCUACACAUAAGGACGGUAUAAGAUUAUAAAUCUGAAGUUAAAAUGAUAAUAUGAACAAUAAUAUAAAUUAACUAUUACGUGAGCCUCUCAAACAUGGUUUUAUAGAAUUUUGAGUGACAAAAAUAUUUUUAUACACGAAUCAAAGCAAUUUAUACUCUAUCUUAUUUAUAAAUUUUGAUCAUAAUCUUAGAAAUCCGAUACAUAAAUACACCUAAAUGGAAAAUUUUACGUCCAAAUGACUCGUCCCUACCUUCAAAAAUCGAUUAAUGGAACUAGUAUGCGACCGAUCAACUUUAAAUUCUAAUCAAUAGAGAACAUAACUAUAAUAGUAAAUAUGUACAUAUUAAAUUAUACAUAAUAUUAUGUUCUUUAUUUGAUUCGUCGAAGAGGAUAUGAAAUUCAAUAGCUGUCAUAAUGGGGUUUGUGAUAUCGUCUUUUCUCAAGACUAUCAGCUAUCAAGGCUAUCAGCAUAGGUAGGGGAAAAAAAAAAAGAAAAAAGAAUUGUAUACUUUUAGUUUUUUUUGUUUUUCUAUGUUUUGACUACUAUAACAAAAUUAAUACAUAAUUUUAUCUUACUUUAAAAGAGACAGAUAAUGUAACUGGUAAAAAAUAAAAAAUAAAUGUUGCAAAGAUGAUUAAUAUUAAAAAAUAUCACAUGUUAAACCUUUAAAACACUCUCCUGUAAUAUUAGUAAGUUUUGAGAUAAUACAGUUUUAAUGCGAGAAGACGA